UUGACAAUUGGACCGUGAAGGCAUACUUUCAGGAGUGAGGGUAGAGCGGGGUUUCCCCCGCCCUGGUAGUCUUAGUAUGCUGGGUAGCUAAUCACUAAGAGCACCACGAUGAUGAGUAUCUUCAUCAUGACCCUUUCCUUAUU
rnacentral:sRNA from 2 species